rnacentral:rRNA from 1 species
AGUGAACGCUGGCGGUAGGCCUAACACAUGCAAGUCGAACGGCAGCACAGGAGAGCUUGCUCUCUGGGUGGCGAGUGGCGGACGGGUGAGGAAUACAUCGGAAUCUACUCUGUCGUGGGGGAUAACGUAGGGAAACUUACGCUAAUACCGCAUACGACCUACGGGUGAAAGCAGGGGAUCUUCGGACCUUGCGCGAUUGAAUGAGCCGAUGUCGGAUUAGCUAGUUGGCGGGGUAAAGGCCCACCAAGGCAACGAUCCGUAGCUGGUCUGAGAGGAUGAUCAGCCACACUGGAACUGAGACACGGUCCAGACUCCUACGGGAGGCAGCAGUGGGGAAUAUUGGACAAUGGGCGCAAGCCUGAUCCAGCCAUACCGCGUGGGUGAAGAAGGCCUUCGGGUUGUAAAGCCCUCUUGUUGGGAAAGAAAUCCAGCUGGCUAAUACCCGGUUGGGAUGACGGUACCCAAAGAAUAAGCACCGGCUAACUUCGUGCCAGCAGCCGCCGCAG